GGUACUUGUACCGACUGGAUGAGCAGCGAACGGGUGAGUAACGCGUGGGGAAUCUGCCUUUGAGCGGGGGACAACAUUUGGAAACGAAUGCUAAUACCGCAUAAAAACUUUAAACACAAGUUUUAAGUUUGAAAGAUGCAAUUGCAUCACUCAAAGAUGAUCCCGCGUUGUAUUAGCUAGUUGGUGAGGUAAAGGCUCACCAAGGCGAUGAUACAUAGCCGACCUGAGAGGGUGAUCGGCCACAUUGGGACUGAGACACGGCCCAAACUCCUACGGGAGGCAGCAGUAGGGAAUCUUCGGCAAUGGACGAAAGUCUGACCGAGCAACGCCGCGUGAGUGAAGAAGGUUUUCGGAUCGUAAAACUCUGUUGGUAGAGAAGAACGUUGGUGAGAGUGGAAAGCUCAUCAAGUGACGGUAACUACCCAGAAAGGGACGGCUAACUACGUGCCAGCAGCCGCGGUAAUACGUAGGUCCCGAGCGUUGUCCGGAUUUAUUGGGCGUAAAGCGAGCGCAGGUGGUUUAUUAAGUCUGGUGUAAAAGGCAGUGGCUCAACCAUUGUAUGCAUUGGAAACUGGUAGACUUGAGUGCAGGAGAGGAGAGUGGAAUUCCAUGGGUUAGC
rnacentral:rRNA from 1 species